rnacentral:rRNA from 1 species
GGUGGAACGUUAGGAAGCGAAAAUGUUGGCAUGAGUAAUCGCAAAGCCGGUGAAAAACCGGCUCCCCGAAAGUCUAAGGUUUCCUCCGCAACGGAAAUCGGCGGAGGGUUAGGCGGCCCUAAGGCAAUGGCGAAAGCCGGAGUCGAAGGAUAGUCGGUUAAUAUUCCGACCUACCGUCUGCACUAUACUGAUGGGGGGACGGAGGACAUAAACUUGAGCGUCUUAAUGGUUUGGCGUUCUUGGUACUGAGAGGUGUUGCUUAGGUAAAUCCGGGCAACUGCUUUUAAGGCAUAUCUCGUGUACCGAGAAAAGGCUGCGUUUUUGCGUAUCCAAUUUGAGCGAAGAGCCUUCCAAGAAAAGCCUCUAAGGUGUGUAGUCGGUUCCGUACCGUAAACCGCCACAGGUAGACAAGGCGAGAAGCCUCAGGGGAACGAGUGAGUCCUCGCUAAGGAACUCGGCAAAAAAGCGGCCGUAACUUCGGGAUAAGGCCUGCCCCGACUCAAAUCGGGGCCGCAGCGAAAGUAUCCCUGGCGACUGUUUAUCAAAAACACAGCUCCCUGCUAACUCGUAAGAGGAUGUAUAGGGGGUGACGCCUGACCGAUGCGAGAAGGUUAACGCUGGCGGUGUUCUAAUUUUUUAAAUUGGGAUGCUGACUGGCCGAAGCCCUCGUCAAUGUCAGCGGUAACUAUAACCGUUCUAAGGUAGCGCAAUUCCUUUCCCGGGUAAGUUC